UACGAAGGGGGCUAGCGUUGCUCGGAAUCACUGGGCGUAAAGGGCGCGUAGGCGGCCAUUCAAGUCAGAGGUGAAAGCCCAAGGCUCAACCUUGGAAUUGCCUUUGAUACUGUUUGGCUUGGAGACCGGAAGAGGUUAGUGGAACUGCGAGUGUAGAGGUGAAAUUCGUAGAUAUUCGCAAGAACACCAGUGGCGAAGGCGGCUAACUGGUCCGGUUCUGACGCUGAGGCGCGAAAGCGUGGGGAGCAAACAGG
rnacentral:rRNA from 1 species